GACAGAGGGGGCAAGCGUUGCUCGGAAUUACUGGGCGUAAAGGGCACGUAGGCGGAAUGGCAAGUCGGUCGUGAAAUCCUUCGGCUCAACCGAAGAACGUCGAUCGAAACUGCCGUUCUUGAGGAUUGCAGAGGAGACUGGAAUUCCCGGUGUAGCGGUGAAAUGUGUAGAGAUCGGGAGGAACACCGGUGGCGAAGGCGGGUCUCUGGGCAAUUCCUGACGCUGAGGCGCGAAAGCGUGGGGAGCAAACGGG
rnacentral:rRNA from 1 species